GCAUAAUCCAAAUUCCACCGUGAAGAAAUACAACUGUGGAGAAAGAUACGUAACGGAAUAUUCUUCUUUGUUAACGCAAUUCUGUUGCCAAUUUAUUGAUGUCCUCGUCCGAGGCUCCCAGGGAGGCCAGUCCAAGUUCUUGAGAGAAUUGAGCGAAACUUGGAUUCGCUAGAAGCGGCAUGUGGCCUAACAAUUCGUGACAACAGUCCCUGUAAAUAAUUUGUUGUUAGGAUUCUGGAUGUCUAAGUUCUUAAAUUUAUUUUUUAAAUUUUCAGAUUCUCAGAUUGCUAGAUUUCUGAUUUUUUAUUUUUC